rnacentral:rRNA from 2 species
UACGAAGGGGGCUAGCGUUGUUCGGAAUUACUGGGCGUAAAGCGCACGUAGGCGGAUAUUUAAGUCAGGGGUGAAAUCCCAGAGCUCAACUCUGGAACUGCCUUUGAUACUGGGUAUCUGGAGUAUGGAAGAGGUGAGUGGAAUUCCGAGUGUAGAGGUGAAAUUCGUAGAUAUUCGGAGGAACACCAGUGGCGAAGGCGGCUCACUGGUCCAUUACUGACGCUGAGGUGCGAAAGCGUGGGGAGCAAACAGG